GAACUGUGUUGCUAGGUGAAGAUUCCAACUUCCUGGGCAGAGGGUCAUGUAGUGGAAUAGAGCUGUACCUGGCUUCAGGCGAGACUUGGAGCUCAAAACUUUCAGUAGGACAGCCAGGCGCGGUGGCUGAUGCCUGUAAUCCCAGCACUUUGGGAGGCCGAGGUGGGCGGAUCACGAGAUUCUUGUGCUGUCACUCAGGCUGGAGUGCAACGUUGAAAUCUCGGCUCACUGCAACUUCUGCCUCCCGGAUUCAGGCAAUUCUUGUGUCUCAGCCUCCUAAGAAGCUGAGAUUACAGCAACUCCAAAAUGGAAGUACUAUUGUUAUCUCCGUUUACAAAUUAGGAAACUGAGGCACAGAUAUGCUCUUGGGUACUUGUCAGCAGCAGUUGUUCUACAAAUGAGCGUCUUAGCCUCUGGAUUACUGCUCAAUGAGGAAAGCUAUGAAAUGCAUGGAUAACUUGCUAAUCAGUAUUUGCCAUAUGUGCUAGCAGCAUCAGCAUCAGUUGGGAGAUUAUGGUGGCCUCCAUGUCAGACCUCCUAAAUCGGAAUAUCAGAGAAGGUGGCCCAGGUUACCAUGCUUCAUCUGCCAAUGCAUUGAAAACUUGGAAUGUAAAUUAAUUCAACCAUUGUGGAAGAUGGUGUAGUGAUUCCUCAAAGACCUAGAAGCAGAAAUAUCAUUUGAUCCAGAAAUCCCAUUACUGUGUAUACACCCAAAGGAAUAUAAACCAUUCUAUUACAAAGAUACAUGCGUGCGUAUGUUCAUUGCAGCAUUAUUCACAA
rnacentral:lncRNA from 1 species